AUUGAACGCUGGCGGCAUGCUUUACACAUGCAAGUCGAACGGUAACAGGGUGCUUGCACCGCUGACGAGUGGCGAACGGGUGUGUAAUGCGUCGGAACGUGCCGAGUAGUGGGGGAUAACGCAGCGAAAGUUGUGCUAAUACCGCAUACGUACUGAGGUAGAAAGUGGGGGACCUUCGGGCCUCACGCUAUUCGAGCGGCCGACGUCUGAUUAGCUAGUAGGUGAGGUAAAGGCUCACCUAGGCGACGAUCAGUAGCGGGUCUGAGAGGAUGAUCGUCCACAAUGGGACUGAGACACGGCCCAGACUCCUACGGGAGGCAGCAGUGGGGAAUUUUGGACAAUGGGCGAAAGCCUGAUCCAGCCAUGCCGCGUGUCUGAAGAAGGCCUUCGGGUUGUAAAGGACUUUUGUCAGGGAGGAAAUCCCUAGUGCUAAUAACACUGGGGGAUGACAGUACCUGAAGAAUAAGCACCGGCUAACUACGUGCCAGCCGCCGCCGUAA
rnacentral:rRNA from 1 species